rnacentral:rRNA from 1 species
UUGAUGUUUAGUGGCACCAAUGGUAGCAAGUGCAGGCAACUGUACUUGUUGCCUUUCAGGCCUAGCGUACAAGUCCCACUGACUUGGGCUUAUUCUUACAAUUGAGAUGUCUACGGGCUUGGGGCAACCUGGGUUCGUGGAUGAGCCAUAGAGGGUGAAAGUCCCUUUAAUGCGCGGGUAUUGGUGUCACGAAUCAGAGCAGUGGCGUUUGUGCGUGUGUGGCAACACAUACGUUGCGAGCGUCACGGUUUGUCAGAGUCGGGUUGCUUGAGAGUGCAACCUAAAGAGCGAGGUAAACUGCUCGUAAGGCUACGAUGUAAAUACGGCUACGACACCGAUAGCAAACAAGUACCGUGAGGGAAAGUUGCAAAGUACUUUGAAGAGAGAGUUAAACAGGGCGUGAAACCGCUAGCUGGAAAACGAGUGGAGCCACGAAGUCGUUUCGUAGAUCACGGAAUGCAAACUCAUCCAAGGUGCCGUGAAAAAGUGUCUUGGUGUAUUUUUGUGUAAAAUUCCGCUACUGUAGGCGUACACUGCAACCAAUUAGACGGACAAGCGUGGAAAUAGUUUGCACGUUUUACGGGGCAACCUGUAGCGUGUAAGCGAAAAAAUUUGUGCACCUACGUGUAGGUAGCCGCGGCUUUCGUUGUGGUGCGUUUCGGCGCAUCUCAACACCGUGGUGUAUGACAUUAUUCGUAGGUGCGUGAACUACGCUUGUGUACUGAUUGGCACAAUGAAAAUCGAGCCUUUGUGCUCGUAACAUAAAAAGCGGCCAAUAUCGUGUUUGAGUACAAUUGCUCGCCGCUUGUAACAAGCUUGGUAUUUUUGAAUUCAGGCACGUAUAUUGUCAGUGGGCUUGUCUCGUUGACAUAUGCGCUGUUUCCUGUCUAAUCGAAUAUCGACUUUUCUGGCGGUUUGACGUAAUUGAAACGAUAGCAUCGGAUGCGUUAAUUGGCUUGCAAUUGAU